GAUGAACGCUAGCGGCAGGCUUAAUACAUGCAAGUCGUGGGGCAGCAUGAGUGUAGCAAUACAUUUGAUGGCGACCGGCAAACGGGUGCGGAACACGUACAGAACCCUCCUUCAAGCGGGGCAUAGCCCAGAGAAAUUUGGAUUAAUACCCCAUAAUAUAAUGUAGAGGCAUCUCUUUGUUAUUAAAGAUUUAUCACUUGAAGAUGGCUGUGCGGCUGAUAGGUAGUUGGCGGGGUAACGGCCCACCAAGCCUGCGAUCAGUAACUGGUGUGAGAGCACGACCAGUCACACGGGCACUGAGACACGGGCCCGACUCCUACGGGAGGCAGCAGUAAGAAAUAUUGGUCAAUGGACGCAAGUCUGAACCAGCCAUGCCGCGUGGAGGAUGAAGGUCCUCUGGAUUGUAAACUUCUUUUAUAUGGGACGAAAAAAGGCUUUUCUAAGUCGUCUGACGGUACCAUAUGAAUAAGCACCGGCUAACUCCGUGCCAGCAGCCGCAGUAAUAC
rnacentral:rRNA from 1 species